CAAUAGCGUAUAUUAAAGUUGUUGCAGUUAAAAAGCUCGUAGUUGAAUUUCUGGUGGGCGCGCCGGUCUUCCAAGUGUUGUACUGGGCGCAGUCCGCCAUCCUCGUGGAGAGGGCUCGCAUUGAGUUGCGUGUCGGAUCUGCAUCAUUUACUGUGAAAAAAUUAGAGUGUUUAAAGCAGGCUGUCGCUUGAAUACAUUAGCAUGGAAUAAUAAGAUAGGACUUCGGUCUAUUUUGUUGGUUGCGAACCGAGGUAAUGAUUAAUAGGGAUAGUUGGGGGUAUUCAUAUUUAAUUGUCAGAGGUGAAAUCCUUGGAUUUAUGAAAGAUGAACAACUGCGAAAGCAUUUACCAAGGAUGUUUNCAUUAA
rnacentral:rRNA from 1 species